CCUGUACAAUGGGACAUUAUACAAAAGUACUCUAUACAUUAAAUAUUACACACACACACACUCUAUACAUUACACACACUCUAUACAUUAAACAUUACACACACACAUGCUAUACAUUUAAUAUUAAACACACACUAUAUACAUUACACACACUUUAUACAUGAAAUAUUACACACACACACACACACACAAACACACACAUUCUAUACAUUAAAUAUUACACACACAUUCUAUACAUUACACACACACACUCUAUACAUUACACACAC